ensembl:lncRNA
CUGGCCUUAAAUAUUAUUAUGACAGGCAUGUCCACUUAGUUUAUCUUAUUUGGUUUUCUUGCAUGGAAAAUUCUUAAAGUGACGAUGAAUUGAAACCGAUUAAUUUACUGUUAAUAUUUUAGUUCCUCACUUGAAAACGAAAAUGCGUGCCGCUCCCGCGUGAUCCCAUAAGGUCUUUUCAAAGUAAAAGUCGUCUUGAGCGUCACACAUGCAUCUGAGUCACAUAAAUAAAUAAAAUACCUAGUUGACCUCGUAGCUGUGAUACAAACCUUCUAUAAUGACGUACUUAUACAGUUAUGAUCACAAACAGUGAAUGGAAAGGAAUGAAUUAAAAAUUCUGGCAGUGGGCUGGAACAUGACCUGAGUGAGGUGUCGUCAUGUAUAGACGAUCUUCGCAGCAGUAGUUUCGUGUUAAGGGGUUCAGGUCAGACCCCUUCCUCUAAAACGCGUUGGCUCUGGAACAGAUCCAGUCCCUUUGUGUAUCCGGUUGAAAGCUGUUUACAUACAUUUUAAGCUGCCAUUGCUGUCAUGAAUGACAUGAAAUUCCUCAUAUAUAUAUUCGCGUUUAUCGUGUCAUUGCUUUUCUAUCUGUGUAAAUACCUGUGCCAAAGCCCCGACAAUGAAAAUUCUGUGAUGGCUACCGCUGACCACACCACUUCUCAGCAGUACACUCAGCAACCGACUGCAGCACCUGGGCCCUCUCAGUCCCACCAGAGAGCGUCCUACCAGCCAGCACCAGCUCAGCCCGAUGACCCAGCUGAGCUCAUGACCACAUCACCCAGCCAUGAACAGCCAUUCCUAAGACCACCGCCAUCAUAUGAGGAAACAACUGGUCCUGCCUACCCUGUACAACUGAUGCCUUCCAGCGAGACAGUGUUCAUCCCCAGCGAUCCACUGUACCUAUCAGAGGGUAUUGUGCAUGAGUACAACGGUCUACAGGACAGCACAGACUUCCUAACCAGCUCUGCAUGCGACCCUGAAUUUGUUAUAAGCUAGGCUUAAUAGUCAUAGCGGCCCAAUCAGAUACAAACAUGAUGCAAAAUAUUUGGCUCAAAUGGAAGUAUGUUGAAUGAAGAUGAGACACGGCAGACUAACUUGAUGUAUUUUCAAUUUUAUUCUUUAAACCAGUUUUUAGUGGCUCAAGUUAUUUAGAAAAAUUGAAACAUGAGGUCACUGUUUCUCACUAAUUGUCUUUGGGCUUAUUCCUCAAGAUCUCUGCCUCUUGUCUUUACUCUCUAUUGGGGAAAGUACUUGACAGUCAGAUUCAGUGGUCACCAGUUAGGUGUUUCAGUGUUCAUUAGAAAUGCAUCGAUGGAUGCGCAUGCGAGAUAAAUAUGAACACGUUAAAGAAGCUAAAGUCAGGCGGUUGUACAGAAAAUCAUUGUGAAGUUUAAUAACUUUUGUUAUUAUUUUAUUAUUUUAUUAUAGUGCAUCUCUAGUAUCUGUGGAUAUCAUCUCAUCGCUAUCUAUGAAUUUACUGCAGACCUGCAAAGUGCUGUUAACCUUUUUUUCCCUGUGUAUUUGUGUGCAUUGUCUUGUGAGUCAUGCUACAUGUGAAUAAAUUCAAAGAGUGAAAACAUUUAUCACUGAGGGUUUUUUCUCCAUUCAUGUCAGGUCAGCUGAUCACUCAGGCUUCCUGAACACAUACAGUUCCACUUAGUUAAUACCUAAAAGUGUUUUUGACCAUCAAAUACAACUUUAAAAUUCAUCAUGUCAUUUUGACAAAAUAAGCAUCCUCU